rnacentral:rRNA from 1 species
AGAAUCAACGCUGGCGGCGUGCCUAACACAUGCAAGUCGAACGAGAAAGUGGAGCAAUCCAUGAGUAAAGUGGCGCACGGGUGAGUAACACGUGACUAACCUACCCUUGAGUGGGGAUAACCUAAGAGAAAUCUGGGCUAAUACCGCAUAAUACCUUCGGGUCAAAAGGAGCAAUUCGCUUAAGGAGGGGGUCGCGGGCCGAUUAGUUAGUUGGGCGGGGUAAUGGCCCACCAAGACUAUGAUCGGUA